rnacentral:rRNA from 1 species
UUGGAGGGCAAGUCUGGUGCCAGCAGCCGCGGUAAUUCCAGCUCCAAUAGCGUAUAUUAAAGUUGUUGCAGUUAAAACGCUCGUAGUUGAAUUUCGGGAUCAAUUUAUUGGUCGUGCCAACGGUACGCACUGGUACAAUUGGUUUCUCCCUUCUGACGAAGCAUGAUGUCAUUAAUUUGAUGUCGUGGGGAAUCAGGACUGUUACUUUGAAAAAAUUAGAGUGUUUAAAGCAGGCUUUGGCUUGAAUACAUUAGCAUGGAAUAAUGAAAUAGGACGUUCGAUCCUAUUUUGUUGGUUUCUAGGAUUGACGUAAUGAUUAAUAGGGAUAGUUGGGGGCAUUAGUAUUCAAUUGUCAGAGGUGAAAUUCUUGGAUUUAUUGAAGACUAACUACUGCGAAAGCAUUUGCCAAGGAUGUUUUCAUUAAUCAAGAACGAAAGUUAGGGGAUCGAAGACGAUCAGAUACCGUCGUAGUCUUAACCAUAAACUAUGCCGACUAGGGAUCGGAUGAUGUUAAUUUUUUAAUGACUCAUUCGGCGCCUUACGGGAAAC